UUUCGAGCCCCCUUCAUCCGGAGGGAGAGGAUGAGAAUCCCCGGGAAAUCCGGGGACGCAGGUCUUUUGCGAGCAGUUGGGAAGGCCGAAAGGGGAUGCAAAGUAAAUGGAUGUGGGCAAUUGGAAGAAAAGCCUCCCACGGAUGGAGGGGCCCGGAGAGAACCGAAGGAAAGUGGGCAGCCGCCGCCGCCGCGUCUCGCCGUGCUUUUCUCUGGGAUAAACGCUUACCACUGGCACCUCCAGGCGACCAAGGGGCACUGGGUCUGCUCCCCACCGCAUCCCCGGGUGUGGAGAGAGCAGCUGGGGAGCUGCAUCAGAAUCUCAAUAAAUGGAUGAUGAAUCAAUUUAAUUGGGACAGUGCAUUCUUUUUCGCUGCUUUAAGUGGAAAGGAAAGCGAUGCAAGAUUCAAGGUACAGAAAAGGCACCUCCUCCCCCCGCCGCCCCGCAACACACACGGAAAUUGCUCCCCAAAGCUCUCUUUCUCAGCAGUCUCAGCGAGGAGGUUGGAACUCCUCUGCGUCCAGAAUGACAUCUCCAUGUCCGUCCGCCUGGGCCUGCCACCUCCCGCCCCCACCGCCAGCGCCCGCCCUCCUUCGCCUGGUGGACGCUUGAGCAAACAGCUCAAAGUCCAGAAUCCCAGGCCUGACUCCUGAAACCCUGCAUGGUGUGCGGGGGUGAGGCUGGACCAUCCAGUUUUAUCAGCUCCUUCAGCCUCUUCUGAAGGUUGGGGACCAGCCAGGCUUGGGAACCCAGCUCUAAGAGCCAGCAGAGCAAAAGAAGAAGGCCUUUCUGGUGUGGACCCCCAAAUUUUCGACUAUUUUUAGACCUGUGCUAUUUUGUUUACUGGAGCCGGGCAGUCAGAGACCUGGGUUCUGGCAUGAGCGCCCCUCUCUUCUACCCAGGGAGUUGCAGUUCCACGAGUGUUGAUAAAUGUUUGCACCCAGGUGUCCACCACAUUCAAAUAUAGAACAGUGCUGUCACUCCACGUUUCCUUGUACCCACGGACCUCUGUUCUGCCACGAAAGAUUAGAUUUGCCAUUUCUAGAGCUUCCUUAUAAUGUACUGAAGGUCCAUCCAUGUUGUUGCAAGUGGCAGGAUAUCCUCCUUUCUCAAGAACACUCUGGCAAGCUGACCUGGGCAACGUGGACCAACCCUUUUACACAGACUACUAUGGAAAUGGAGUGGAGUAUGGGUCCUGCUUUGCCUACGUGGUCCCUCAGUGUGAAGACUGAAGGCUGAGUUCUUAUCGUCGAGAAGGAAGGCUGAUUCAUUCCAUCCCUCCAGAGCCGGAAGACUUACAAGAAGAUCUGGUGUAGAAAGACAGUGCCUGGUACCAGGCUGGCUUAGUCCUGUACCAGGGCUGGUGCCAUGUGGGAGAGGAGGCAGGAGCAAAGCUUUUCCCUCCAGGACACCUCCUGGGUCAGUGUCCAACCCUGGCUAGGGGAUGGGGCUGUGUCUUCUUUGUACUCUGUCAUGCAUCACUCACUUUUGGGAAACCCAGCCACCAUAUUGUGAGGACACUCAAGCAGCCCUGUGGAGAGGUCCGUGUGAAGAGGAACUGAGGCCUCCUGCUGACAGCCAGCACCAACGUUCCAGCCAUAAGAGCACACCAGUCCACAGUCAAGCCGUCCCUUGAUUUACCCACAGCUGACAUGUUGAUUGCAACUUCAUAAGAGACCCUGAGCCAGAAUUGUCCAGCUAAGCUGCUCCUUGAACUUCUGACUCACAGAAACUGUGAAAGGAAAUAAUUACAGGUGAUAAUGUGAUUAAUCAUGGUCUCACUGCUCACUAGAGGUUACUAGUACUAAUACCCCAUUUCUCAAGGACCACAGCACUGUUUUCAACAGACCAAGGACAAGAGGACCCAACCAAUCCCAGAAUCCCAUCUUUGAGGAUCAGCUUCCUAAGACCACUUUUGGUAUCAAAUAUUGGAUUAGUCAGAGUCAAGUCAGUAGAAAAAAAACCUCACUAGCUUUCUCUAUUUUAAAUUCUCUCUUUUAAAGGGACUUGAAGGGCAAAAAGGGAAUACUGAGGUAUCAAAAGGUAGUAACUGCAGAAAGCAUGGAUUAUUCUUAAGGCUUGAGAAACAAAGUUAAGAACAUGGGGCUAUUGGAACCUAGGUUCUUGGAGGAGGGGCCCUAUGGAACUGGGACUCAGAACUCUGAGAAGGAAGUGCUACCAGCUGGGGCUGGUGUAUCUGAGUGGGUAGGGAGGAUGCCACGAGUUUAUAUCUGGGAGGGCCGGAAGGACCUUGGAAAUGGGACCCACUGUUGUUGCUGAGGGGAAGGGCCAUCACUUGGUUGAUGCCAACAGGAAACAGCAAAACAGGAAAGAGCAAGUCCUUUUUUACUCCUACAGCUUUUCAGUCUCCCUUUAGUGCCCUCCAUCAGUGGCACUUAACAGGAAGCCAGCUGGCAAAGGAGAAGUGAUUUGCAAAGUCUUAGCCCCACACCACAGAGGAGAGUGUAGAAGGGUGGGUUUACUGCUCAGAGCAAUAGCUUAAUAACCUGAGUACUGGCUCCUGGAGGCCAUGGCAUCUGUAAGCCCUGAAUGAGAUGCUUAAGGAUAAUCCAUGACUAAGGGCAUUUUACUUAAGACCAGGGCUCCCCUAAAACAUUGCCUGGAACCCAAAGACGAGAUGAUAGGAGAGACUCCCCGCUAUUUUGUUUCCUUCCUCCUUCCGCAGGUGGCCUUCUUCACCUCCCUCCUGCUCCCAGCACUGGUGAGAACUCAGCUAAAUGGAGGACCACUGGGCUGUGGCUACUUUCUACACAUACUGGACCACUGUGCAUCCUAAUUAGAGCUCUGAAGAGUGCACUGCAUGGGAACGUUUUUAUGCCAUUAAGUAGUAUUAGCAAGCUUCCUUUCUUUUUUUAACACUUAAACUACCUUUUCUCAUUAGCACUGUCUUCUGGAGGGAGAGGAAGGGGCAGAAGAGCUAAUUAGUGAACUUGGGUGACUGUCUCCUACCUCUAACCUUUCCUAAACAUCUUGCCCCUUGCUAGAGGAAGCCAGAGCCUACUCUGUCUUUUGAGAAACUAUCAGAAAACAUUUGCAAAUAACUGUGAUUGCCUUACAGUGGAGGAAGGAAGCACAUUUUCCAAUUACAGCCUGGGUGAUUGCUCCGGCUUGUUUAAUUAAUGGAGUGGGCAUCUGUUUGCUGAGGCCCUUUUGAAUGCAUUUUCUGGAGUUUCUUAAUUAGCUACAAAAAGCUGCAGGUGUACUGGCAGGGGAGCAUGGUAGAGCUGGGAUGUCUUCCAGAAGAGAGAAUCUUUUUUAAUGUAAAUAUUUAGUUGUAUGAUGAUGAGGUCCAUUUUAAAGUUCUCUUCCUAUUUGCUCUGUGUGCAGUGGUGUUGGAAGAUAUAUUCGGGUUCCAUUUGGAUUGUUGACAAAAUGAAUUGAAAUGGAAGAGACCAGUUUUCAUUAUGACAGACACUUGUAUGCAGUUAGACCAUUACCAGGAUGACAAGUUAUUCUCGCGCUGUCGCGAUGAGACUGCUGUCUGGUUUUUCAGGCACAAAUGCUUGCGAGGGGAGAGGAGAUGUCACAUACUAAUUCUGUGCAUCGAAUUACACAUGCUAUAUGGAGAGACCCACGGGGGGAGUGAGAGGGCCUUUCGGCUUCCUGGUAAGAGAAGAUCGUCUCAGCAACAGGGGUGUGUCCGAAAGGUUUACCAUCCUCUGACACGGCUCUCUGCCUGUUAUUGUUUAUGAGAAUCAAAGGAUGUUGUCUCUUAUGGCAGUAAUUACCACCUCUGGAUCUGAGAGAUGAUGUUACCUCGAAAACAUUCGAGGCUGAGUUAGAGAGUCUGUGAUGAUACAGCGGGUGGGUAUCGGAGGGCACACUGAUCAACCACAGCAAACCAUGGUCAUGGGCCAGAUUUGGGCCACUGUUUCUUAACGUUUUAUUGGACCACACCCACAUCCAUUAGUUUACGUUUAUGGCUGCCUUUACCAAAUGGGCAGAGUUGAGUAGUUGUGACUGUAUGGUCUUCACAGCCUAAAAUAUUUACCAUCUGGCUCUUUAUUGAAAACUUUGCUGACCUCUGAACUGUAGGGAUUCUGUGGUCUAUUGGAUGAAGCUCGGGGAGAAAGAUCGCUACUUCUGUGGUCUCCUUUCCAGGCCUCAGUUUGCCGAUCUCUGUGAUGGGGCUAAACCUUCCUACCCUUUGUGUCUUAUUAGACUGCUGUGUGAGGUAUAACAGUUGAAACACUGUCUGAUGAAUUUUUGUAUUUUCUCACUAAGAAACACACACUCAGUAAUUGAGAAAAUGCAACAUAUGCUUUCAUUCUUUCCUUGAUGUCCUGUAUCCUGUGAACCAAGACUAAGACCAGCGAGGCACUGAAACCAAACUUGUCUUGGAUUAGCCCCUCUGUCCUUCAUUACUGCUCCCCUCCCACAUCUUUUGUAGCAUGUGUGGGACGAAGGUUCUUUUUAUUCUGGGAGAAAAGGUGCACAUGUCUGACUGUCCGAAUAGCGGUUCAUCGCUUCUCUCAUGCAUGCACCUCCCAUUCUGCCUCAAGGGUCCUUGUUAUUUUAUUCUAGGAACCACAAGUGGAGGCAGCUCUAUACUGUAGAUCUUAAUUUUUUAAUGUUGAAAACAUCUCACAACAUGGCCCUUAAGGUUUCAGGUUUGCACUUCUGGACCAGGGUUAAAUUUUGAAGGCAAACUGAUUUCAGCAAAGCAUCUUGUGAGCGUUUUUGCACAGCUCGGUGAGCGGAAGUGAUGCCCCUCUUUGGCUCAACUCCAGCCACAUCCUGGUGUCCAUGGAAAUAAUGCAAUUGAGCAGCCAAGGUAGAGAGGCUUGUAGAAGCUGCUAUUAACUAGCUAGGUGACCUUCCACAACUCACUUGCCUCUGCUGGGUUUCAUCCGCCAACAUCUGAUAGAUAUUCUCUAACAUCCCAGUCUGUUUAAAAAAUUCAGUACGUGGAGACCAGUUUCUAUUAUCUGGGUAGUGGAACAGUAGUCUCGUCCAACAUGCUCAUUCUUUUCUAAUUCCACACACCCCAUUAAGGCUGGCCUUUUCCAGGGACCCUUACGUGACAAAGCAAGGUGGGAUGAGUUGUUAAGAAGGGGUGUGUGGUCAGGGGUCCCUGCUGGACAGACGCCAGAUGUGCAACAACAGAAACUGACUCUCGCAGCCUUAAGGAGAAAAGUGACGUGUCGGGAGGGUAACGGGCAGCUUGCAGGAGCCAUAAGAAGGCUGGAGACCAGAGACCAGGGGAGGCUGGGUGGCUGAGGACAACCAGUGUUAUGCCCUGGAGUAAACUGCUGGUGCCUCCACCUGAACUCCUGCUCAGGACGCGGCUCCUCAUCUGUGUGGGUUAGAAAGAGGAGCCUGCUUUGCAACCACGUGUUACAGGACCAGCUUGGUGAGCAGAGAAUGGCCUGGAUUCAGCCCUCCAACAUGUCCUUACCCAGGCAGGGGCCACCCUAGAGCAGGGGUCAGUGGCAGCCCGCUGGACCCACCACUGCUGGCCUCUCCACUCCACUGCUGCUGUCUUUGAUGAUUUCCAUUCAGCCUGCAUUUUUUGUUUCACUACUUAUUUAUUUAUUUAAAUUGGUGUGUAGCUGAUGUACGAUAUUAUGUAAGUUUCAGGUGUACAACGUAGUGAUUUAUAUCCAUUUAUAGUUAUUAUAAAAUAUUGGCUAUAGUCCCUGUGCUGUACAGUAUAUCUUGAAGUUUAUUUAUUUUAUAUAUAGUAGUUUGUACCUCUUAAUCUCCUACCCCUAUCUGGCCCCUCCCCCUUUCCCUCUCCCCACUGAUAACCUCAGUUUGUUCUCUAAAUCUGUGAGUCUGUUUCUUUUUCCUUAUAUUCACUAGUUUGUUUUCUAUACUAGGUUCCACAUAUAAGUGAUAUCAUACAGUAUUUGUCUUUCUCUGUCUGACUUAUUUCACUAGGCAUAAUGCCCUCUAAGUCCAUCCAUAUUGUUACAACUGGCAAAAUUUCAUUCUUUUUUAUGGCUGAGUAAUAUUCCAUUUUGUAUAUAUACCACAUCUUCUUUAUCCAUUCAUCUGUUGAUGGACACUUAGGUUGCUUCCAUAUUUUGGCUAUUGUAAAUAAUGCUGCUAUGAACAUUGGGGUGCAUGUAUCUUUUCAAAUUAAUGCUUUCGUUUUUUGUGUGUGUCACUGCUUUUAGAUUUAGAGUUCUGGGCAAAAGCACUGGCUUACUUUGGCUUACUUUGACUGAGCGUGGCCCAGAUCCAAGCUGUGGGGAAGGGGAAAUACGUAUCCCCUUUGGCUACCAUAAUGGGGUUUGGGGUCCUGUGGUUUGGAUUCCCCUCGACUUGAAAGAAUAUUUCCGUGCCAGGUAGCCAAACAAAAGACAACAGUACAACUUACAGACUGCACCAAGUACAGAUGUGCAGGUUGUUCACUGCAGAAUCUAGGGGGCGCCAUUUGCAUUGUGGUCUAAAUGAAAAGUGCCGCCAGGUUCUGUGCACAGCCGCGUGUACUGUGCGGUGAUCAAAACCAGUGCACGCAUUCACCUUCUCUUCUCAGCAUCCUGUGAAUGCUGACCCAGCAGUCCCCAGUUCUCUUUGUCUCCAGAGAACAUCACAUCAAAUUCAGAAUUACACGAACAUUCUGAAUACAUCGAACAGGAGCGAGGAUUUAAUUGCUGGCUCCUUGAUGGGACUUGGGUUGAAAGUAUGCCAAUUGUCGUUCAAAUGUUUUCAGAAAUACAAAAUGGCAAAUUGAUCAUUUGUCCGUUUUCAGAGAGCUUGCUUCCUUUAGGUGAUCUCUUUUCGACCUUUACAAAAUUCAGUUUUCUCUGAUCAAAGGAAUUUGCUCUGGAAACACUUAGGGAUAUUAUGAAAGAAGUUAAUAUUUAAACUUGCUGUAGAUGUGUUUAUAUUUAAUGUUCACUUUUGAAUGCCAAAGGAGGGAGAGAGAUUUCUAAUGAUUUUUCUCAGCAAACGUGCCUUCAACAGUUGUCAAGUGUUUGAAAACAGAGUUUAAAAGGAGAUUGUUUUUCCUCCAACUAUCCUAUAAAAAUCCUAUACAUACUGUUCUCGCCUUGGUUGAGCCAUUUAUGUUCAUUUUCCCGAGUUUAAUAACAGAAAAUUCUCUUUCCAUUAUUUUAUCUAGAAGCCCAUAUUUUGACAUAAAACCAAGAAGCUUUUCCACUCCUUUCAUUUUAGUUUCCUCACUCCUCAAAGAAAAAAGUAGUUCAAUUAAAUACCAUCUAAGGGCUCCUUCGAGGCAGAGACCUUUGGAAAUUGCGCUAACCCUUUAACAUUUAGGAAAGCGUAUUUAUAGAAGCAGAAUGUCUUUGCAGUAUGUGCUUGCUGUUCAGAGAGGCAAAAACUUCCUGCACUCUCCUCUGAAGAAUGAAGUAAUUCCACUUCAAGGCUGGUCAUUAGGAGUAAUGGAGAGGCUGCCU